rnacentral:rRNA from 1 species
UGUUGAGGAAGAUAAUGACGGUACUCAACAAGGAAGUGACGGCUAACUACGUGCCAGCAGCCGCGGUAAAACGUAGGUCACAAGCGUUGUCCGGAAUUACUGGGUGUAAAGGGAGCGCAGGCGGGAGAACAAGUUGGAAGUGAAAUCCAUGGGCUCAACCCAUGAACUGCUUUCAAAACUGUUUUUCUUGAGUAGUGCAGAGGUAGGCGGAAUUCCCGGUGUAGCGGUGGAAUGCGUAGAUAUCGGGAGGAACACCAGUGGCGAAGGCGGCCUACUGGGCACCAACUGACGCUGAGGCUCGAAAGUGUGGGUAGCAAACAGGAUUAGAUACCCUGGUAGUCCACACCGUAAACGAUGAUUACUAGGUGUUGGAGGAUUGACCCCUUCAGUGCCGCAGUUAACACAAUAAGUAAUCCACCUGGGGAGUACGACCGCAAGGUUGAAACUCAAAGGAAUUGACGGGGGCCCGCACAAGCAGUGGAGUAUGUGGUUUAAUUCGACGCAACGCGAAGAACCUUACCAAGUCUUGACAUCCCUUGACGAACAURGAAAUAUGUUUUCUCUUCGGAGCAAGGAGACAGGUGGUGCAUGGUUGUCGUCAGCUCGUGUCGUGAGAUGUUGGGUUAAGUCCCGCAACGAGCGCAACCCUUAUGGUCAGUUACUACGCAAGAGGACUCUGGCCGGACUGCCGUUGACAAA